rnacentral:rRNA from 1 species
CAGCAGCCGCGGUAAUACGUAGGGUGCGAGCGUUAAUCGGAAUUACUGGGCGUAAAGCGUGCGCAGGCGGUUUUGUAAGACAGGCGUGAAAUCCCCGGGCUCAACCUGGGAAUGGCGCUUGUGACUGCAAAGCUAGAGUGCGGCAGAGGGGGAUGGAAUUCCGCGUGUAGCAGUGAAAUGCGUAGAUAUGCGGAGGAACACCGAUGGAGAAGGCAAUCCCCUGGGCCUGCACUGACGCUCAUGCACGAAAGCGUGGGGAGCAAACAGGAUUAGAUACCCCAGUAGUCCCUGUCUCUUAUAC